UACGUAGGGGGCAAGCGUUGUUCGGAUUCAUUGGGCGUAAGGGGUGCGUAGGCGGCGCGGUAAGUCGGGUGUGAAAUCUCGGAGCUUAACUCCGAAACUGCAUUCGAUACUACCGUGCUUGAGGACUGGAGAGGAGACUGGAAUUUACGGUGUAGCGGUGAAAUGCGUAGAUAUCGUAAGGAAGACCAGUGGCGAAGGCGGGUCUCUGGACAGUUCCUGACGCUGAGGCACGAAGGUCAGGGGAGCAAACGGG
rnacentral:rRNA from 1 species